rnacentral:lncRNA from 1 species
AAAUAAAUUUUGUAACGUGAUAGUGAUGUUUUUAGUAUUGAUUUUAAGGAGAAUAAAUUGUUUAAAAUUGGGUCUUACUUACCAAAAGUUAUAGAUAUGUUCUAAUAUUGCAACAAAAACUUAAAAAUUCUGAUUAAAAUUGCCAGUGUCCCAUUGACUGCAGUUUGCAGUUUAAUCAAAAGCUUAAGACUUUUAACUCACCCAUAAUUAAGAUUAUUACUAGAAUAAUCAACUUAUAAGAGAGCUAAUGCUGCUCACUUGGGCCAUUCAGCCAUACAAAGCAAAACAGAAUUAACUAGAUAUAUUCAUCUUUGUACAGAAAUUAGACCCUCACACAAUCAGUUUGACUAUGGCUGCGGCCUUGUAGGACCAUAAAAGGUCAUAAAAGAAAAUGUUUAAGGUAUAAGUCAUCUUAAGAAAGAUUGUCCAAAAUCAGAGGCAUGGACAAACAGUUAAAUUGCUCCUUUAGAAUCUGUCCUCAUUGCAGGAGGGCAAGAUGCUCAAAUUAAAAAAUAUAUACAUUUGGGUUAAUACAAAGCUUAAAGCAGCCUCAGAGAAGCUUGUGCAAAGUUUCUUGCGUUUUACAGACUGCGCCUAGAAAAGUUCUUGAAACUUCACUCUCCCUGCCUUCAGGGAAAAUUUCUUUUAGCUAAACAACAUUUUUUCUUUUCAGAUCUACCCAAGUGUUGUUCAUGAUUAAGUCUAAACUCAAGAUUUAUAAAAAGUCAAUCAGGCUAUAAAACUUAUAAAGGCAUUACAAGAUAACUUGCCUACUUCAUAUUAUUAUAGAUUUGAAUGUCUAUUUUUUCCAUUUGUAAAAAGUUUAUUUCUAGUAAACUGGUGACUUAAUGUGCAUGUCAUAUUGUAAAGAUUUGAUCUCAGUGUCCUCAGUUUCUACCUGUUCCACACAUUGGUAUUAAUUCUUGAGGACGUAUACUUAAUCAUUUAUUACAAAUAGAUACUUUUUAAUUUUACAAAAAUAAAAUAUGCACAUGUGACUAUUGAUAACUUUUUAAUCUAAUUACAACUGCUCUAAUAAAAAUAGCAACUAAAAAUAUAGUUGCCUAUGUUGAUUAUUUUUUACUUGGUGUUCCAAAUCAAAUUAAAACUGGCUAUUAUAGCCAAGCAUUUGAGAUGUUUUAUCAACAAUUUAAUGUUAUCCAUGUUACUGAGAUUUUUAUUAUUCCCAAGGAAACAGUACUGUGGAACUUUAAAUCUAUAUCUUUUAAAAAAAAUUUUAAAUGUCAAAAAUCUCUCUAAGUGUCUAUGGCACCCUACAAUCAAACAUACUCAUAAGAUGAAGGGAUCCACUUAUUGGCACAUGGCAUGAUCCUGUUCAGAUACUUAAUAUGGGGAAAAGGGGGCAAUAUUUCUGUUUUUUCCACAGAAUGCUACAAGAGCAUGCUAGCUCCCAGAAUGAUUCAUGUGACAGGCUGACCUGUGAGUUCCUGAGUGCCCUGACAGUGGUGACCAGAAAGCUGUAUUGAGUGCACAGAAGAAACAGAAAUCAGAAAACAGCCACUCACAAGCAAAAUAAAGAAACUCUUCCUAUCUCGGCCAUGGACUACAACAAGGAGAGCAGACCUGGUGUCAACUUGGAGACAACUGAAAAAGCUGACUCGUGAGGCGCAAAGACUGCUACAAAGUAUUAGACAAGAUUUCAUCAGAGACUGAUUUUGGCCAUUCAGGCCAGUCCCCUAUAGCUGUAAAAGCUUGUGUACCUUACCUGUAUGCUUAUUGUUAAAUGAUUUUAAGAGUUAAGAUCACCAAUCUUGACAAGUCUUUUUAUAUACAUUGUAAUUCCUGUCAUUUAACUAAUUGUGUAGAUCCUAAUUUAAAUAAGAAAUCUACUGUUAUGAUUUUGUUAAAAAGAUUCUGCAUAUGUUUUACUGCCUGUAGAGUUAGGAAACGAUCCUUGGUUUAAAAAUUCUUAAUUGCAAACUUUAAAAAGACUAAACGAACUUAUUAGACCUAAGAGAUUUGUAGCAGCUUUGAUCCUGGGAAUUACUGCUUUAAUUGCUAUUUUAGCUUCCUUUACGUUAUCCACCACAGCCUUAGUACAGCAACAACAUACUGCUCACUUUGUUAAUGACAUGCAUAAGAAUAUCUCUGUAGCUUUGUCAGAGUUGUAUUUUAUAGAUAAAAAAUUGGAAGCAAAGGUUAACGCCCUAAAAGAAGUGGGAAAAGACAAUAACACAUUUACAGGGUAUAUAGAAAGAUACUGAUAUUUCUCAUGACUUAGAACAGUUAAAGGUAAAAAUUUCAGAUAUUAGUAAAAGCCAUCUGGACACUGGGAACAUUGAUAAAUUGGCCAGAGAUUUGAAAAACAACUUAAAUGCAUUGAACCCCCUGGAUUGGGUUCAAUAUAUCAUCCUACUUGUGAUUAUUUUUGGCAUUGUUUUAUUAGUAAUCAUUGUGUUUCCACUCAUCUUUAGAGUGUUCCUGAGAUCUGUAGCUACGACGAAGCGGGACAUCCUGGAACUUUGGCUGAGAAAUAAAGAUAAAUUAUCAAUUAUUAAAAAAAAGGGUGGAAUGCCAGGGACUCUGGUGGAGUCAGCUUGACAAAGCGAAAGCUGGGAAGCUGGUUCAUGAAGCAAAGAGUUUCAAGGAAACUCCCUUCCCGGGGGCCUGGCAUUUUCUCCCUAAUCUAUAUAAACCAUAAAAUUAAUUUUUCCAUUCCCGCAUUAAUCUAGUGUAUAGAUUCACGUGCACUCUAUAUAGUAUUAACUUAUAGUAAAUGCCUUUUAAGAUUGUAUUCUAACAUAGCUAAAGCCUUUUUCCAGUGUUCUUAGAUUCCAGAUAGCAGCAAGGAGCUUAACCUAUUUAGUAACUAAUUAGCUGUAUCAUAAAACAAUAUAAACAUCUGUCAUUUACUCAGCUGUCUGUAGAUAGAGACUAAAAGUCUCACUGAGAUAGAAAUCUUUUACUACAGGCUACAUUCUAUGUCAAGUAUAAGUUGAUAUACUACCCUGAUAAGGGGGAACUCUCCAGACAAGAUAAGUUUUACUAGACCUAAGAAUUUAGAGCUCUGUGAUAACGCAUUACUCUUAAGGCCUGUCAAGAAUUAACAACCCCCUGAUGCUUUUAACCUUAAAGUGUGAAAUUCUUGCCUGGCAUUAGGCUGAUCCUAGGCAGGGCUUGUUAUCCCUAAUGUAAACAUUUAAUUAGCCCCUGCAAAUUCCUUUCUGCUGUAACUGGUGAAUUUCAGUGUAUCUUGUCUUUUUGUGAUUUGUAUCCUCUGAUAAUUCGUUGUUAUAUAAGUCUGAAGCUCAACCAGAAGAAUACAUUCAGAUCCAACACCAUUCUCCGUGUUCGACUGUCUGUCACUACAUCUUAUCUCUGCCCAUCUACUCUAGAGACCCUUUCUUACGCAGGCACAGGGGACCAGAGGGCCUGUGGCAGACAAGGACUUCAGCCCCUUAGGAUUUGGGGUCUCUUUUUUGUAGUCUUUUUGUUGUUCCUAAGGUCCAGGCUUAAGAGGUUAUUUUGUACCACUACU